rnacentral:rRNA from 1 species
GUGAGGAAUUUUCCGCAAUGGGCGAAAGCCUGACGGAGCAAUGCCGCGUGAAGGAUGAAGGCCUAUGGGUUGUAAACUUCUUUUCUUAGAGAAGAAUAUUGACGGUAUCUGAGGAAUAAGCAUCGGCUAACUCUGUGCCAGCAGCCGCGGUAAGACAGAGGAUGCAAGCGUUAUCCGGAAUGAUUGGGCGUAAAGCGUCUGUAGGUGGCUUCAAAAGUCUCCUGUCAAAGAUCAGUGCUUAACCCUGGGCCGGCAGGAGAAACUCUGAGGCUAGAGUUUGGUAGGGGCAGAGGGAAUUCCCGGUGGAGCGGUGAAAUGCGUAGAGAUCGGGAGGAACACCAAAGGCGAAAGCACUCUGCUGGGCCACAACUGACACUGAGAGACGAAAGCAUGGGGAUCAAACAGGAUUAGAAACCCGUGUAGUCC